AAACGGAGCGAGAUACCAUGCAGUCGAGCGGAGAUGAGGUGCUUGCACCUUAUCUUAGCGGCGGACGGGUGAGUAAUGCUUAGGAAUCUGCCUAUUAGUGGGGGACAACAUUCCGAAAGGAAUGCUAAUACCGCAUACGUCCUACGGGAGAAAGCAGGGGAUCUUCGGACCUUGCGCUAAUAGAUGAGCCUAAGUCGGAUUAGCUAGUUGGUGGGGUAAAGGCCUACCAAGGCGACGAUCUGUAGCGGGUCUGAGAGGAUGAUCCGCCACACUGGGACUGAGACACGGCCCAGACUCCUACGGGAGGCAGCAGUGGGGAAUAUUGGACAAUGGGGGGAACCCUGAUCCAGCCAUGCCGCGUGUGUGAAGAAGGCCUUAUGGUUGUAAAGCACUUUAAGCGAGGAGGAGGCUACUGAGACUAAUACUCUUGGAUAGUGGACGUUACUCGCAGAAUAAGCACCGGCUAACUCUGUGCCAGCACGNCGGGUAAUAAAA
rnacentral:rRNA from 1 species